UUACGACGCCUGUCUUUACUGGAAAACAAGGAAGCGACUAAAAACUUGUGACACGUAUUAUUCUCUCAGGGAUUUAAGUAGGAAUGAAGUCAUCUGGCGCCAACAGGAUUUCUGCAACUCUACAUGCUUUGAAAUCGUCUGACGCAAUAACUACGUUCCGUUUCAUUGAGUUGUACUAGUGUGUAUUAUGUUAUCAUUCUAAACAAAGUGUGUAGUAACAUGUGUGACUAGAUCAAGUUAAUUUUGAUAUCAUUAAUUUUAAAACUAUUGGCACCUACAUUCCUAAGACUAAAAUGACUUGUUUGGGACUUGAAAAUAACCACGUUUUCUAAAUUGUUCUGCGUGAAACCGAACCGAAGACAACUUCUUGACGUCACAACCUCUGUUAUGAUCUUCUAUCUUUAUCAUACAGGAAGCAAAUAGUAUACCUGUCUCUGUCGCCUUGAAAAUAUUGUUUUCUAAUUGUUUACAUUGCAGUUUUGCUUUUUCAUUUAUUAAAACUGCUUUAAACAUUCUCUGCCAGAUCACAAGACUAUAAAGUUCCAGAUUUUUGGAAGGUGAAUGUGGGGUUGAAGCCAACAUGAACACUAAUGAAAUAAUGACAGAAAAGUAUAGCUAUUGUUUGUUUCUCCUUAAUUGCAUAGACCAAAUACAUCAUUUAUGAUGGGAUGCCAAUAAAGUGUUUAAUUAAGUAUUUAUUGUUGGCAUGAAAAAGAAACUAGUAAGUAGGUAACUCCUUAAUUGUUGUGAUAAUGUUGGUUUAAUUUGGAACUUAAGUACCUACUUACUUAAAGAAAAAGAGCUCAAGACAUUUCCCUUAUAUUAGCUUAAUGAUGUUUUGAUAAAUUUGUAAACACUCUCAAUAAUAUUUUAAAAGUUUUAUGUAUUUACCUACCUAAUGUAUGUUUCAAUAUUUUAUUAUGUUUAUAAACGAUUCUCUGGCAUGCACAUGCACAAUACAAUAAAUCAGAAUACUACUACCUAAAGUCAUCUCUUU